rnacentral:rRNA from 1 species
CCGUUCGGGUUGUUAAAGUUACUUUCAGCGGGGAGUGAAGGGAGUAAAGUUAAUUACCUUUUGUCUCAUUGACGUUACCCGCAGAAGAAGCACCGGCUAACUCCGUGC